CCUACGGGAGACAGCAGUCGGGAAUAUUGCGCAAUGGAGGAAACUCUGACGCAGUGACGCCGCGUGCAGGAAGAAGGUUUUCGGAUUGUAAACUGCUUUAGACAGGGAAGAAAAAAGACAGUACCUGUAGAAUAAGCUCCGGCUAACUACGUGCCAGCAGCCGCGGUAAUACGUAGGGAGCAAGCGUUAUCCGGAUUUAUUGGGUGUAAAGGGUGCGUAGACGGGAAAACAAGUUAGUUGUGAAAUCCCCCAGCUUAACUGAGGAACUGCAACUAAAAAUAUUUUUCUUGAGUGCUGGAGAGGAAAGUGGAAUUCCUAGUGUAGCGGUGAAAUGCGUAGAUAUUAGGAGGAACACCAGUGGCGAAGGCGACUUUCUGGACAGUAACUGACGUUGAGGCACGAAAGUGUGGGGAGCAAACAGGAUUAGAUACCCGAGUAGUC
rnacentral:rRNA from 1 species